rnacentral:rRNA from 2 species
AAAUUGAAGAGUUUGAUCAUGGCUCAGAUUGAACGCUGGCGGCAGGCCUAACACAUGCAAGUCGAACGGUAACAGGAAGAAGCUUGCUUCUUUGCUGACGAGUGGCGGACGGGUGAGUAAUGUCUGGGAAACUGCCUG